rnacentral:tRNA from 5 species
GGAAAGAUGCUCGAGUGGUUGAAGAGGCACGCCUGGAAAGCGUGUAUACCCCUAAAGGGUAUCGGGGGUUCGAAUCCCCCUCUUUCCG